CGCUCAUUCCUUGGGAGAGGAAAUUCUUCUGAAUCGCUCCCGGAUGAAGUAACCCAGGCUGGCGAUCCAGAGGGCCAGUGAGAGCCCCACAGGCCGACGCGGCUGUGGGCCGAGCACUUAGCCUGCACUGGGCACCCAACAUUUUCCGGAGUGCGAGAUCCUGCUGGUCCUGGAGGCAGAAGACUGCUUUUCUCUCUGCCUUCCUCUCUCUGUUUCUUGCUCCCUCCCUCCCUCUUUCCCUCCGUCCCUCCCUCAGUUCCUCCCUUCCUCCCUUCCUCCCUCCCUCCGUCCCUGUCUCCUUCCUUCUAUCCCUCCAUCCUUUCCAAGGUCCCUCGGUCCAUCCGUUCUUUCCUCCCUCCAUCGCUCCCUCUCUCUCUGUCUCCGUUCAUCUC
rnacentral:lncRNA from 1 species